rnacentral:rRNA from 1 species
UACGUAGGGUGCAAGCGUUAAUCGGAAUUACUGGGCGUAAAGCGUGCGCAGGCGGCGAUGCAAGACAGGUGUGAAAUCCCCGGGCUCAACCUGGGAACUGCAUCUGUGACUGCAUUGCUGGAGUGCGGCAGAGGGGGAUGGAAUUCCGCGUGUAGCAGUGAAAUGCGUAGAUAUGCGGAGGAACACCGAUGGCGAAGGCAGUCCCCUGGGCCUGCACUGACGCUCAUGCACGAAAGCGUGGGGAGCAAACAGG